ensembl:processed_transcript Gas5 growth arrest specific 5
CUUUCGGAGCUGUGCGGCAUUCUGAGCAGGAAUGGCAGUGUGGACCUCUGUGAUGGGACAUCUUGUGGGAUCUCACAGCCAGUUCUGUGGCAAAGGAGGAUGAAGGCUUACGAGGACUCGUCAGGAAGCUGGAUAACAGAGCGAGCGCAAUGUGCUAGAAUAGAAGACCAGAAAAUGAAAUGGUGGAGUUUGAGGCUGGAUAGACAGUUUGAAAGGGCUCCUGUGACAAGUGGACAUGCAGUGACUGCACCUUUGUUUCUGAGGUGCCUGGAUGGAGGCUCAAAUAGAAGAUGGUGUCAGAUAUAUUGUGUUAAAAUUUUACCAUUAAAGUGUAUUAUAACAUGAA